rnacentral:lncRNA from 1 species
UUACAAACCCUUACUUCUGCUGAGACUCUUGGGUUUGGUCCAGUCGAAUUGAGGGGACUCAAACUGGAACUGCGGUGGGUGGCUUCUAAUAUUGCUGUGGAUGAAGGCACACUCUACACAUAACUGAAGGAACUGCACCAGAACUGAGCCUCCAUACCCAUAGGUUGGUCCUUGAUAGUUGCUCAAAGAACUAUGAUCCUGUAAAAAGUCUUGUGCAGUUGUUCCCAAUCCUGCUGCCUGACAAGAAGAC